CCUACGGGUGGCAGCAGUAGGGAAUUUUCCACAAUGGACGAAACUCUGAACGAGCAAUGCCGCGUGAGUGAAGAAGGGUUUCGGGUCGUAAAGCUCUGUUGUAAGAGAAAAACGAUAAUGAUAGGAACUGAUCAUUAUUUGAUGGUAUCUUACUAGAAAGCCACGGCUAACUACGUGCCAGCAGCCGCGGUAAUACGUAGGUGGCAAGCGUUAUCCGGAAUUAUUGGGCGUAAAGCGAGCGCAGGCGGGUGAAUAAGUCUGAUGUGAAAGCCCUCGGCUCAACCGGAGAAAUGCAUCGGAAACUGUUGAACUUGAGUGCAGAAGAGGAGAGUGGAACUCCAUGUGUAGCGGUAGAAUGCGUAGAUAUAUGGAGGAACACCAGUGGCGAAGGCGGCUCUCUGGCCUGCAACUGACGCUGAGGCUCGAAAGCAUGGGUAGCGAAUAGGAUUAGAUACCCUGGUAGUC
rnacentral:rRNA from 1 species